GGGGGCAUAGCUCAGUUGGGAGAGCAGUAGACUGAAGCAGCCCUUUCAAGCUUUAACAACUUGACAAGAUUCGUAUUCUAAAGGUCCCGCGUUCGAUCCGCGGUGCCCCCA
rnacentral:tRNA from 1 species